UAAACUAUGCGAACUGGAUGUUGGGUACAUUACGGUACUCAGUGUCGAAANUAACGCGUUAAGUUCGCCGCCUGGGGAGUACGGUCGCAAGACUGAAACUCAAAGGAAUUGACGGGGGCCCGCACAAGCGGUGGAGUAUGUGGUUUAAUUCGAUGCAACGCGAAGAACCUUACCUGGCCUUGACAUCUGUCGAAUCCUGCAGAGAUGCGGGAGUGCCGCAAGGAACGACNANGACAGGUGCUGCAUGGCUGUCGUCAGCUCGUGUCGUGAGAUGUUGGGUUAAGUCCCGCAACGAGCGCAACCCUUGUCCCUAGUUGCCAGCACGUAAUGGUGGGAACUCUAGGGAGACUGCCGGUGACAAACCGGAGGAAGGUGGGGAUGACGUCAAGUCCUCAUGGCCCUUACGGCCAGGGCUACACACGUACUACAAUGGUCGGUACAGAGGGUUGCGAAGCCGCGAGGUGGAGCCAAUCCCAGAAAACCGAUCUCAGUCCGGAUUGGAGUCUGCAACUCGACUCCAUGAAGUCGGAAUCGCUAGUANCCGCGAAUCAGCUAUGUCGCGGUGAGUACGUUCCCGCG
rnacentral:rRNA from 1 species